rnacentral:rRNA from 1 species
CCUACGGGAGGCAGCAGUAGGGAAUAUUGCUCAAUGGGGGAAACCCUGAAGCAGCAACGCCGCGUGGAGGAUGAAGGUUUUAGGAUUGUAAACUCCUUUUGUUAGAGAAGAUUAUGACGGUAUCUAUCAAAUAAUCAACGGCGAACUCCGAGCCAGCAGCCGCGGUAAUACGGAGGGUGCAAGCGUUACUCGGAAUCACUGGGCGUAAAGAGUGCGUAGGCGGGUGAGUGAGGCAGAUGUGAAAUCCUGUAGCUUAACUACAGAACUGCAUUUGAGACUGGUACUCUGGAGUGUGGGAGAGGUAGGUGGAAUUCUAGGUGUAGGGGUAAAAUCCGUAGAGAUGAAGAGGAAUACUGAUUGCGAAGGCGGCCUGCUGGAAAAUGACUGACGCUGAUGCACGAAAGCGUGGGGAGCAAACAGGAUUAGAUACCCCGGUAGUC